rnacentral:rRNA from 1 species
CAGCAGCCGCGGUAAUACAUAGGUGGCAAGCGUUGUCCGGAAUUAUUGGGCGUAAAGGGCUCGCAGGCGGUUUCUUAAGUCUGAUGUGAAAGCCCCCGGCUCAACCGGGGAGGGUCAUUGGAAACUGGGAAACUUGAGUGCAGAAGAGGAGAGUGGAAUUCCACGUGUAGCGGUGAAAUGCGUAGAGAUGUGGAGGAACACCAGUGGCGAAGGCGACUCUCUGGUCUGUAACUGACGCUGAGGAGCGAAAGCGUGGGGAGCGAACAGGAUUAGAUACCCCUGUAGUCCCUGUCUCUUAUAC